CCGAGUGCGGGUUCUAACGAGCCCAACCUCCCACCCGUGUUUACUGUUACCGCGUUGCCUCGGCGGGCCCACUGGGGCCUGGCCCCGGUCGCCGGGGGGCUUCUGCCCCCGGGCCCGCGCCCGCCGAAGCACCCUAGAACCCUGCCUGAAUAGUGAGUCUGAGUGAGAUAUUAAAUCAUUA
rnacentral:misc_RNA from 2 species